rnacentral:lncRNA from 13 species
UUAGCUUGAAUCGUUCGAGAGUUGCGCCGAGACAGAGCUGGAGACGUUGGACCCCAGAGACGAACGAAUUUGGAGAAGGAAUGCAGUAGUAGUAGCAGCAGCAACAGCAAAAACAGUCAGUGAGUGAAUUAAUUUGACAAUUUAUUUACGCUUACAAUUAACUAAUUAAAAUAGAAGAUCCCCAUAUAAUAAUAGUGAAGAAUGCAA